rnacentral:rRNA from 1 species
CUCAGUAACACGUGGACAACCUACCCUGAGGUGGGGGAUAACCCCGGGAAACUGGGGAUAAUACCCCAUAGAUUACCGAAGCUGGAAUGCUCGGUAGUUGAAAGGUGAGCCGCCUCAGGAUGGGUCUGCGGCCGAUUAGGUUGUUGUUGGGGUAACGGCCCAACAAGCCUGUAAUCGGUACGGGUUGUGGGAGCAAGAACCCGGAGAUGGAUUCUGAGACACGAAUCCAGGCCCUACGGGGCGCAGCAGGCGCGAAAACUUUACAAUGCGGGAAACCGUGAUAAGGGAACCCCGAGUGCCCGUUAAAUCGGGCUGUCCAUCUGUGUAAAAAACAGGUGAAGAAAGGGCCGGGCAAGACCGGUGCCAGCCGCCGCGGUAAUACCGGCGGCUCGAGUGGUGGCCACUAUUACUGGGCUUAAAGCGUCCGUAGCUGGAUUGUUAAGUCUCCUGGGAAAUCUACCGGCUUAACCGAUAGGCGUUCAGGAGAUACUGGCAAUCUAGGGACCGGGAGAGGUGAGAGGUACUCCAGGGGUAGGAGUGAAAUCCUGUAAUCCUUGGGGGACCACCUGUGGCGAAGGCGUCUCACCAGAACGGCUCCGACAGUGAGGGACGAAAGCUGGGGGAGCAAACCGGAUUAGAUACCCGGGUAGUCCCAGCUGUAAACGAUGCGCGUUAGGUGUAUCGGUGAC